rnacentral:rRNA from 1 species
GACGAACGCUGGCGGCGUGCUUAACACAUGCAAGUCGAACGGAAAGGCGCUGCUCUUGUUGGGUGCUCGUGUGGCGAACGGGUGAGUAACACGUGAGUAACCUGCACUUGACUUUGGGGUAACUUUAGGAAAAUGGGGCUAAUACCGGAUAGGAGCUUCUGCAGCAUGGGGGGCGUUGGAAAGAUUCGGCGGUUGGGGAUGGAUUCGAGGCUUAUGAGCUUGAUGGUCGGGUAGUGGCGUACCAAGGGUUUGACGGGUAGCCGGCAUGAGAGGGUGACCAGCGACAUUGGGACUGAGAUACGGCCCAGACGCCUACGGGAGGCAGCAGUGGGGAAUAUUACACAAUGGGCGGAAGCCUGAUGCAGCAACGCCGCGUGCGGGAUGACGGCCUUCGGGUUGUAAACCGAUUUCGCCGGUGACGAAGCGUGAGUGACGGUAAUGGGUAAGAAAGCACCGGCUAACUACGUG